UAAAAGGGAAAGGACGGACCCUCGCGAAGGCAAGNAACCCCAAAAAAGAACCAUCCCAGUUCGGAUUGCAGUCUGAAACUCGAGUGCAUGAAGCUGGAAUCGCUAGUAAUCGCAAAUCAGAAUGUUGCGGUGAAUACGUUCCCGGGUCUUGUACACACCGCCCGUCACACCAUGGGAGUUGGAAAUGCCCGAAGUCAGUGACCCAACCAAAAGGAGGGAGCUGCCGAAGGCAGGUUCGAUGACUGGGGUGAAGUCGUAACAAGGUAAC
rnacentral:rRNA from 1 species